rnacentral:tRNA from 1 species
AGCCCUUUAGUCUAGUGGAUCAGGACGUCAUCUAUUCGGGAUGAAGACGCGGGUUCGAAUCCUGCAAGGGCUA